rnacentral:rRNA from 1 species
GAUGAACGCUGGCGGCGUGCCUAAUACAUGCAAGUCGAGCGAACGGACGAGAAGCUUGCUUCUCUGAUGUUAGCGGCGGACGGGUGAGUAACACGUGGAUAACCUACCUAUAAGACUGGGAUAACUUCGGGAAACCGGAGCUAAUACCGGAUAAUAUUUUGAACCGCAUGGUUCAAAAGUGAAAGACGGUCUUGCUGUCACUUAUAGAUGGAUCCGCGCUGCAUUAGCUAGUUGGUAAGGUAACGGCUUACCAAGGCAACGAUGCAUAGCCGACCUGAGAGGGUGAUCGGCCACACUGGAACUGAGACACGGUCCAGACUCCUACGGGAGGCAGCAGUAGGGAAUCUUCCGCAAUGGGCGAAAGCCUGACGGAGCAACGCCGCGUGAGUGAUGAAGGUCUUCGGAUCGUAAAACUCUGUUAUUAGGGAAGAACAUAUGUGUAAGUAACUGUGCACAUCUUGACGGUACCUAAUCAGAAAGCCACGGCUAACUACGUGCCAGCAGCCGCGGUAAUACGUAGGUGGCAAGCGUUAUCCGGAAUUAUUGGGCGUAAAGCGCGCGUAGGCGGUUUUUUAAGUCUGAUGUGAAAGCCCACGGCUCAUUCGUGGAGGGUCAUUGGAAACUGGAAAACUUGAGUGCAGAAGAGGAAAGUGGAAUUCCAUGUGUAGCGGUGAAAUGCGCAGAGAUAUGGAGGAACACCAGUGGCGAAGGCGACUUUCUGGUCUGUAACUGACGCUGAUGUGCGAAAGCGUGGGGAUCAAACAGGAUUAGAUACCCUGGUAGUCCACGCCGUAAACGAUGAGUGCUAAGUGUUAGGGGGUUUCCGCCCCUUAGUGCUGCAGCUAACGCAUUAAGCACUCCGCCUGGGGAGUACGACCGCAAGGUUGAAACUCAAAGGAAUUGACGGGGACCCGCACAAGCGGUGGAGCAUGUGGUUUAAUUCGAAGCAACGCGAAGAACCUUACCAAAUCUUGACAUCCUUUGACAACUCUAGAGAUAGAGCCUUCCCCUUCGGGGGACAAAGUGACAGGUGGUGCAUGGUUGUCGCCAGCUCGUGUCGUGAGAUGUUGGGUUAAGUCCCGCAACGAGCGCAACCCUUAAGCUUAGUUGCCAUCAUUAAGUUGGGCACUCUAAGUUGACUGCCGGUGACAAACCGGAGGAAGGUGGGGAUGACGUCAAAUCAUCAUGCCCCUUAUGAUUUGGGCUACACACGUGCUACAAUGGACAAUACAAAGGGCAGCGAAACCGCGAGGUCAAGCAAAUCCCAUAAAGUUGUUCUCAGUUCGGAUUGCAGUCUGCAACUCGACUACAUGAAGCUGGAAUCGCUAGUAAUCGUAGAUCAGCAUGCUACGGUGAAUACGUUCCCGGGUCU